AAGAAUAGAAAAAGAAAGAAAGGAUGAAACGAAACAGAGAGUAGGGGAAAGAAAGAAGGAAAAAAAAGGAAAGAAGGAAAAAGGGAAAAAUUGGGAUUUCAAGGCUUGAAAGUUAAAUAGGUGUUUUAACUUGGUACCAUAUGGCCCUUUUGGAAAUAGUGAGUUAAGUCGUGACGACGUACUCUCAACGUCACGACAAGAUCAAGUCAGUGAGUUACGUUCGACGAGGAACCCCAAAGUGGCGAUGUCCUGAUAAUUUGAAAACUUUACAAAUUGGUCCUUAUUCGACCUCGAAUCAUCUUAAAAGCUUUCGUAAACUUAUAUAAGGCUUAAAAAUGAUUGUAUAAUAUAUUGUAAAUGAGUAAUAUAAUUAGUAGUGUGUAUAUAUGGUUAAAUUGAAUUGUAUUUAA